rnacentral:rRNA from 1 species
UACGUAGGGGGGCUAGCGUUGUCCGGAAUCAUGGGCGUAAAGCGCGUGUAGGCGGUUCGGUAAGUCCGCUGUGAAAGUCGGGGGCUCAACCCUCGGAAGCCGGUGGAUACUGUCGAGCUAGAGUACGGAAGAGGCGAGUGGAAUUCCCGGUGUAGCGGUGAAAUGCGCAGAUAUCGGGAGGAACACCAAUGGCGAAGGCAGCUCGCUGGGACGUUACUGACGCUGAGACGCGAAAGCGUGGGGAGCAAAC